rnacentral:rRNA from 1 species
UACGUAGGGGGCGAGCGUUGUCCGGAAUCAUUGGGCGUAAAGCGCGUGUAGGCGGCUCGUUAAGUCCGGUGUGAAACCUUGGGGCUCAACCCCAAGCCUGCACUGGAUACUGACGAGCUCGAGUCCGGGAGGGGAGAGCGGAAUUCCUAGUGUAGCGGUGAAAUGCGCAGAUAUUAGGAAGAACACCGGUGGCGAAGGCGGCUCUCUGGAGCGGUACUGACGCUGAGACGCGAAAGCAUGGGGAGCGAACAGG